UGUAGGUUAAUCAACACCAAGGAAUAUCUAGUCACGUACAUGCUGCAAGUAAUGGUUUUGCAUUAUAUCCAAAGAUUUGCAUUUGGCUUCGUGAUACCCUGCAAAGACUCUCUUGACACAGUUUCAAGAGUAUGGUCCUGUCCAAAAAAUACAUCAGAACUAAGAAAAGCAGUUGAAAGGAAGAAAUGUCACGAUAUAAAGCAUUCAUGCAAGUCUUUUGAGUAUCACUGUGUAAUUAACGAUUGGAUGAAUGAAACGAUAGAAGUAUGCGCUCCAUCUUUACUUAUUAUUGGUGGAAGGUGUGCUGAAUUCAACACCGAUAAAGCAAGUAUUCGUGGCAACUUUUUGACAGAUUGCAAAUCUUCUACCAUGUCCGGAAUCCUACAACUCGACAACAUCAUAUAAAUAUUUUGGCUGUUUCUCUAACAUCACAAAAGGAAGAGUUACUACCCUUCGCACAGUAAUUUCAUCACAAAAUCUGCAGGAAACUUCACCAACACAUAGAAAUGAUGGGAUCCAUAAGACAUCAAAUAAUGGAAGUACCAUUAUCAUAUGUGUAAUCGUUGCUACACUGAUAGCAGGACUUGUAUCAGGGCUAACAUUCUGUUGUGUAAGGAAACAAAAAUGCAGCUGUCCACUGUGUGCAAGAAAAGGUCCAAACAGGAGACAUGACAGGAAGCAGGGCAUGGAAAA